UCCUCAGUAGCUCAGCGGUAGAGUGGUCGGCUAUUAAUUGACUGGUCAUAGGUUCGAAUCCUACUUGAGGAC
rnacentral:tRNA from 1 species